rnacentral:ncRNA from 1 species
UCUAAGGGGUGUCCGCUUUAUUGGGCGGUCUGAGAUCAUACCCUAUAACCUGAUCCGGAUAAUGCCGGCGUAGGUAGGUGCAAGG